rnacentral:ncRNA from 2 species
AUGCAGUCCAUAGCCGACGGUGCCCUGUCCUCGGACAGGGCGAAGAGGGAAUACCGGGCGCCGGGUUAAGGGAUGGUCCCUUAGGCCGGUGAAGCCGGAGCUGCCCCCGCAACUGUGAGCGGACAGCCUGCACCGAAAACCACUGGGUCUCGACCUGGGAAGGUGGUGCCGGCCAUGACCCGCGAGCCAGGAAACCUGCCGUCGCCUGCGAUUUCGC